rnacentral:rRNA from 1 species
AGAGUUUGAUCCUGGCUCAGGAUGAACGCUGGCGGCGUGCUUAAUACAUGCAAGUCGAACGGAGACAGUAGCAAUAUUGUCUUAGUGGCGAACGGGUGAGUAACGCGUUGGUGACCUGCCUCGAAGAGAGGGAUAACAGUUCGAAAGGAUUGCUAAUACCUCAUGUGGUUGCUUGGGUUAGAGACCUUGCAACUAAACGGAUUUAUUCGCUUCGAGAGGGGCCUGCGUCCCAUCAGCUAGUUGGUAGGGUAAUGGCCUACCAAGGCGAUGACGGGUAGGGGACCUGAGAGGGUGGCCCCCCACAAUGGAACUGAAACACGGUCCAUACACCUACGGGUGGCAGCAGUAGGGAAUAUUGGUUAAUCUGGGAAACCGGGAACCAGCAACGCCGCGUGCGCGAUGAAGGCCUUCGGGUUGNUAAAGCGCUUUUAGAGAGGAUGAGGAAGGACAGUACUCUCUGAAUAAGCCUCGGCUAACUACGUGCCAGCA